rnacentral:lncRNA from 1 species
UUUAUUAUUUCCUUCUUGGUUCUGCUAGAAAAUAGUUGAUUGGAAGCGGACUUGGUGUCAAAUGCAUAGAGGGAAAAACCAUGGUUUUAUCUAUUCAGGAAGCUAAAAUUUUCAAGUAACUUGCUAAAGAAGAAGUAGAGGGCUGCAACAAAAAGAAAGGGACCAAUUGAAGCUAGGAGUAGUUGGAAAAUUUUGGUGAGUUUGUUGAUCUUUAAAUUUUCUUUACAUUUAUAAAUGUAAAAUUUUACAGGUUUGAUUUGUAUGGAAAAAUUUUGAGUUGAAUUGUUAGUUCAAUUGGUUGUUUCCUUUAUGUGCG